UACGAAGGGGGCUAGCGUUGCUCGGAAUCACUGGGCGUAAAGCGCACGUAGGCGGAUCUUUAAGUCAGGGGUGAAAUCCUGGAGCUCAACUCCAGAACUGCCUUUGAUACUGGGGAUCUCGAGUCCGGAAGAGGUGAGUGGAAUUCCCGGUGUAGCGGUGGAAUGCGUAGAGAUCGGGAAGAACACCCGUGGCGAAGGCGGCCGGCUGGGCCGGAUCCGACGCUGAGGAGCGAAAGCAUGGGGAGCGAACAGG
rnacentral:rRNA from 1 species